rnacentral:lncRNA from 1 species
CUGAAAGUCUAGGCUGGAGAUUUCAGCCUGCAAACUCCCAGACUCCAGGAAGGAACCUUCUCUGCUUUCUCUCUAGUCUCUUUGGAGCACCUUGAGGACAGGAGCUUGGCUUCAAGAAGACAGCAGAAGCACCAGGAGACGGGAAGAUACCUCUGAGAGUUAACCUACAGGAUCGGCAUUCCUGACUGCAGCUGUGGUAUGUAGUUUCAAGGUAAAGCUAAAAAAAAAAAGAAAGAAAGAAAAGCAAGGCCUUAAUUUAAGUCCUUCUGUCUUUCUUUUUAAUUACUCAAAUGAAUUUAUCACAUCUGUAGUUGUAUAAUGAUCAUAACAAUCCAAUUUCACAAGAUUUCCACCUAGGCCCUUCUGUCUUGAUCAUUUCUUUCAUUCCCCAAGGUAAGUUUCCCAAUAUUUACUGGAACUUGACAUACUGUCGUCAUAACCGGUAUUUAUGCUCCCUGGCAGGUCUACUCUCAGUCUUCCUGAUCUCCUAGAGUCUGGAGAGGACGCCUCUGUCUCAGAGAGCUUCUCUUUCUCCUGUACUUCCUUUCCAAUCCUAUAAGAUCCUCUGGGCCAAUGGCCUUAUUCAUCUCAUUCGAGCAGCCCUUGUCCCUUUCCAUGAUGUUUUCCAUACAACAGAUUUUAGAUUAUUUUAGUUCGGAAGCCAAUUUUAACUGGAUAUCUUCUCUGAAAAGUUUCCUCUACCACCUGGAAUAGGGAUAGGCACCAAAUGAAUUCCACGUACAGAACAGCCCAGCUACAAUUCCUGAGCCACCUAAACUCCGAGUCUUCUGGGCCAACUAAAAGGUUUUGUUGAAAGUUACUCGUGUAUCUCCAGAUAACAGCCAUUCUACUUCUUCCUCAGUUUCCUUCUGCACUCUACCUUGUCACACUGAAAAAUUCCUUGGAACCUAAUCCGAAGAGGUAUUCCUUCUAAAUCCUCUGGAGUAGCUCUUCAAAUCCCUGAUAACAGUUCCUUGCUCCAGAUUUUUCUAAACUAUGAGGCAUGCUGUUAUCACCAGGAGAAUCAUAUGUCCCUUGACUUAGUGGUAGCAACACCCUUCACGGGGAUUUACCUCAUCAAGUCCCACAUCCCCCUGGGCACAGAGAUUAUGGUUCCCACGGGACUUUAGAAAAAUUAAAAGAUAGGAGUUAAUAUUUACUGAGCCCUUAGUGUAGGUCAAACACUGGGCUGAACACUUCACAUGCGUGGUCACUUGGCACACAGGCGAGGGCAACGUCAUAAUUCAAGGCCUCUACAACACCCUCCCGUUGCAUCUGGUCAACAGAAUGUGGCAUAGAUGAAGGCAUUUUUCAGAUGUAAUUAAGGUCUCAAAGAGAUGUGGUCUUUUCUUACACUUGAUCUUAGCCAAAAGGCCGAAAAGCGAUGAUGCGGUCUUUUCUUAGGUCAGAUACUCUUCCCAGCUGCUGGCUUGAAGAAGUAAGCUACCACAUUGAGACAGGGCCUGUGGAAAGGGUAACAUGGCAAAGAACUGUGGAUGGUCCUAAGCCCACAAGGAAAUGAAUUCUGCCAACACGUAAAAGCUGAAAGCAGCUUUCCUCCAGUUGAGACUCCAGAGGAGAAUAAGGGUCAGUCACCACCUAGAUUGCUGCCUUGUGAUACCGUGAGCAGAGGACCCAGCUAAGCCAUGCCAGACUCCUGAAGAACUGUGAUGUAGUGUAUGUGUUAAGAAACUAAGUUUGUAGAUUCUUUUAUACAAUAGAAAAAUAAUACAGACUUGGGUGCCUAGAAGUGGAAACGAAAAACAUGGGAGCAGCUUUGGAAUCAGGCUAGAAGAAUUUUGAAAAGCAUAAAAGAGAAUGCCUAUGUGCCUUCAACAGACUAUUAGUAUAAAUCUAGGCAUUCGUAUGCUAUAGUGGGGGCUCAGAAGAAAUUGAGAAACAUGUUAUUAGGAAAAAAAAAAAGAGGAUUCUUGUCAUGUAGCAGUACAGAGCUUAGCAAAAUUAUGUCCUGGAGUUAUCUACAAGGAAAUACUUAAAAGCUGGUUAUAUAAUUAAGAAGACUUCCAAGUAAAGUGUUAAAAGUGCCUCCUGAUUUUUUUCUUGCUACUUACAAUAAAAUGGGAGAGGAGAAAAAU